UUUCGCAAUGCCCGAAAGGGUGACGAAGCGACGCCGCGUGCGGGAAGAAGGCCUUCGGGUUGUAAACCGCUGUCGGGAGUUAAGAAAUGUAAGGAUGUUAAUAGCGUCUUUACUUGACUAAGGCUCCGGAGGAAGCCACGGUUAACUCUGUGCCAGCAGCCGCGGUAAUACAGAGGCGGCAAGCGUUGUUCGGAAUUAUUGGGCGUAAAGAGCACGUAGGCGGCUAUGUAAGUCGGUUGUGAAAGCCUUCCGCUCAACGGGAGAACAGCAUCCGAUACUGCAUGGCUUGAGUGCGGGAGGGGAGAGUGGAACUUCUGGUGGAGCGGUGAAAUGCGUAGAUAUCAGAAGGAACGCCGGCGGCGAAAGCGGCUCUCUGGCCCAUAACUGACGCUGAGUGUGCGAAAGCUAGGGGAGCAAACGGGAUUAGAUACCCCGGUAGUCCUAGCCGUAAACGAUGGGCACUAAGUAGAGGGGUUUUA
rnacentral:rRNA from 1 species